UACGAAGGGGGCUAGCGUUGCUCGGAAUUACUGGGCGUAAAGCGCACGUAGGCGGUCUUUUAAGUCGGGGGUGAAAUCCUGGAGCUCAACUCCAGAACUGCCCUUCGAUACUGGAAGACUUGAGUCCGGGAGAGGUGAGUGGAACUGCGAGUGUAGAGGUGAAAUUCGUAGAUAUUCGCAAGAACACCAGUGGCGAAGGCGGCUCACUGGCCCGGUACUGACGCUGAGGUGCGAAAGCGUGGGGAGCAAACAGG
rnacentral:rRNA from 1 species